rnacentral:tRNA from 1 species
GCCAGGGUGGCGGAAAUGGUAGACGCAAGGGACUUAAAAUCCCUCGAGUAAUUGCUCGUACGGGUUCAAUUCCCGUCCCUGGUACCA